UCCUGUAUCGAAAGUGAUUAUGGCAUCAAUGUUGCCUGGUCAUUGAUAAAGCAGGUAGAUUAUAAAUGAAAAUCCCGUGUUUGCUGGACCUUCAGUUCCACGUUAAACCCUGUAAUUUUCAGACA
ensembl:snoRNA SNORA71 Small nucleolar RNA SNORA71